AUACUUUCACUCUGGCAGGGAGAUACCAUGAUCAUGAAGGUGGUUCACCAGGCGAGGCCUAGCCAUUGCACUCUCUCUUACAGUGUUGACCUCGCACCCCCCAAAAUGUGGGAAUCUUCACUGCAAUUUGUAGUGGGGACUGCGCCCGCGCUUCUGAUCA